rnacentral:rRNA from 1 species
UACGGAGGAUCCAAGCGUUAUCCGGAUUUAUUGGGUUUAAAGGGUGCGUAGGCGGCCUAUUAAGUCAGGGGUGAAAGACGGUAGCUUAACUAUCGCAGUGCCCUUGAUACUGAUGGGCUUGAAUAUACUAGAGGUAGGCGGAAUGUGACAAGUAGCGGUGAAAUGCAUAGAUAUGUCACAGAACACCAAUUGCGAAGGCAGCUUACUAUGGUAUUAUUGACGCUGAGGCACGAAAGCGUGGGGAUCAAAUAGG